rnacentral:rRNA from 1 species
UGAGGGUGCAAGCGUUAAUCGGAAUUACUGGGCGUAAAGCGAGUGUAGGCGGCUACUUAAGUCGGAUGUGAAAUCCCCGGGCUCAACCUGGGAAUUGCAUUCGAAACUGAGUGGCUAGAGUUUGGUAGAGGUAAGUGGAAUUCCGGGUGUAGCGGUGAAAUGCGUAGAUAUCCGGAGGAACAUCAGUGGCGAAGGCGGCUUACUGGACCAAAACUGACGCUGAGGCUCGAAAGCGUGGGGAGCAAACAGGGAUUAGAUACCCUGGUAGUCCACGCCCUAAACGAUGUCAACUAGACGUUGGGUUCAUUAAGGAACUUAGUGUCGAAGCUAACGCGUUAAGUUGACCGCCUGGGGAGUACGGCCGCAAGGUUG